UUAGGUAGGGGGCUUAGGACUUGGGAUCUCGAGACGUCGCGGAGGCGGUGGAGAGCGGAUGCGAGGCGGCGAGGGAGCGGGAGCUGGAACGGACGCGAGGCGGCGAGGGAGCGGGAGCUGGAGCGGACGCGAGGCGCGGGGGGCGCGGGAGCGGACACGAGGCGGCGAGUGGACGCCCACGGGGGUUUGAGGCACCUUCUACCGCAAUCGUUAGAGCUACCUUCGGUAUCUACGCGCGCGCGCCCUCGACCCCUAGCUGGAGCUGAGGCAGCUGCAGCUGAGGUAGUGGGAGGGCGGGCCGCUCCUGAAGUUAUAGGAGUCGCUGCUGCUCCUAAAUGAAGUCUUACUUCUGUAAGGUCUCGAGCUCUAUCCAAAACGUUUGUAAUAACACCACCUGUUAGACGGCAACAGGGGGGCCUCUUCAUGCUCUUCGACCUCUUACAAAACGCGUUCUAUAUACCAGUCGAACCACACUAGUUCCUUCCACCCGAAACCUACGGAUGUCUGGGUCUCUGCUUCUUCUGGGUCCCGAUGACGAAGUAACUCAAGUUAUGAGGUGUCCUUCGACUCAAACGAUACCUUUUUUGUACACCGAUGUUUGACCUGUUUAGAGUGUAUAAAAGACAAUUAUACAAACUACUGAAACUCUUCAUGUACUUUCAAGGACUACUCACCCGCGGACGACUUUAGUUCGGUAUGUGAGGACCUCUUUUAGAAGACUUCACCGAUUCACUACUAUUCCGGUCUCUAGUCAAACACUAGGCACGACCAUGAAAGUGCCUUCACAUGACCUUACUGCGAUCUGCCCGUUGCGGACUCGAACACAUGGUUUUCGUCAUGACCUGCCUAUCGAUAUAAGUUACCAGGGGAGAACCUUGUGUGAACCGCUGGCACGUAUCCGUCCCGCGCGUCCACACCCCACCACUACUAUUCAAACAAGCAGAUUACGCGAAAGAAGUAGGUGUCAACUUUGAGUAGCUAAAGAGAGGGCCACUCUUUAUAAACUAAAGAAUGUCGUCGGUACUCGGGUCGUUGGGGUAUCUGUGUGUAUCCCAACAUGAUUUAUAGAAACUACAUGCCUGACCUUUUCAUUCCGCCCUCAAGUUCCCUUCACGACUACUAAAGUGAUGACCACCUUUAUACCCACACAGACCAUAAAGUACCGGAUAGAAGUCCACCCCACCACCUUCUCUACUAUUCAUAAAACGAUCCGAUCCUUUCUUACAAUAUAGACAGAUACUAUGACUCUGUAAGCGAGAAUAACUAUUCUUCAGGAACUUCCAUCUUUUACACCAACUGAAGUCAACCAGAGGGUGACUAGGAUAGUAUAGUGAGAAACACGGACUUAACCCACCACCUUUAGUCGGACGGUCCCACUCAGAACACGUUUAAGGCCCGUUUCUCCUCUAAGCCGUCUUUUUGGAAAAGUCACACUCGCUGACGUUUUACAUGACCGUUUUGUUACCUCUUAUAGACCGACAGGUCCAUCUGUCCAUGUGUUUUUGUUUCUUCUCGUAAAUGUGACCCAAACUCGACAAGUCUUAGUUCCUUGCUCUGUAGGGUUAACUCCAGAAACUUAACCUGUUGUUCUUACUGUUCUAUUAACGGAAACGUACCCUCGGAUUUCCAGUGGCGAAACGACAAUAAGUACCACUACCCGGAUUCGGGCUAUAUUCAAAGAUGUGGUACUUUCGUCAGUUGUUAUUACAAUCAGCACACAGGUUCGAGUGGUGUGAGUUCCCGUUCGUUCGGUUACGUAACAAGACCAGAGGACGACCCGCAAAGUAACAAGACCGUCCCGACUCCCCAAAGUUACCGGUCGACCUCAAGAAGUUGCAACUACUAGAACUCUGGGACCGCUGUCCUCUUGUAAAAUACCGCUGACUGUAGUACACCCUAGGAUGACCUUCUAUAGAGCGUUGACGUCAAUGGAGCCAAGUACUCUACCUUUUACCAAAGGUUUAGACCAGGAAGUUACCGUUCGUAUAAAUGUUCCAAAAUUUCCUAGUGAAGAUAGUCAAGGUUACCGCGGGUUCCGGAGGCAGCGACGAAUGAGGGCUCUUCCUCCUCCUGUAGAGUUUCUUGGAGUUCGCCAUGUCGUUCUUCAUGCUUGUUCUCCUAGUCCUGCACGUGGUGGAAAACCUGCUCCUCCUCGCGUUCUCUGCCUACGCCGAAGUUCUCCACACCCUUCGUACCCAGCGGUUCACCUUCGUUGACGUGCUCCUACUCGCUCGUAAGUCCUACGUCGAAUCCCCGCCCCUCCUGUCGCUGUUCCUUCUUCUCCGCCUUAUGUUCCUCUAACUCCGCCUCCUCGACCAACUACAGUGUCUUCUUUGGCAACGGAAACUGGACCUGGUCCUCACUUACGACGACUCACAAACAAAAGACGGACAGCACACCUAACGACACCAAAACGUACCAUCCGAGAGGAAUCUAGUUCGCGUAUCAACUAGAAAGAUCAUCACGUGAAAAUUAUUUAAGUAACUAGUACAAAUACCUCUAGCUAAACGUUUACACCAACCUUACGACCAGUAGUAUUAGGGACAAACGUCUACACCAAUGUAAAAAACACCCGAUCGACAUGACCUUAGUGAAGAGAAUCAAGAAAUAAUAGC
rnacentral:rRNA from 1 species